rnacentral:lncRNA from 1 species
CUUUGCAGAUCCUCUCAAUUUCUGUCAGUUUGGAUGGGGCGCCGUUGCUGCACAGCUAUUUUCAGUUCUCUCCAGAGAUGUUACAGAUGUUAGAUCGGGUUCAAGUCCGGGCUCUGGCUGGGCCAAUCAAGGACAUUCAGAGACUUGUCCUGAAGCGUCUUGGCAGUGUGCUUAGGGUCGUUGUCCUUUUAGAAGGUGAACCUUCACCCCAGUCUGAGGUCCUGAACACUCUUGAGCAGGUUUUCAUCAAGGAUCUUGCUCCAUUACAGGUUUUCUCAAUUGUUUACACACAAAUACUGGUACUUGAGACACAAUGACCACAACAUGUAACUCAUGCACCAACCCCCUGAACCAAUUCUGCUAAACUACAAGCACAAUUCCUGCUUUACACUCAAAUUCCAGUUCUAAAACACACUUUUUUCAAAACACUACACACAAUUAUUUGCAUUUGGCACAAUUUUCAUGCAGAAAAUCUCUUGUUUUCACAAUGAACACACUGCCAUUAAAAUAUGCACACUGACUCAUCACAUGGGCAAACACCCGUCACACAGUUUUACAAUUAGCAAUCAGAGCUUUAGCAUAAAAUGGCAACGGGUGAGCUCUUCUGUUUUGGAGCAAUGGAUGCCAACAUUGGAAACAGAGGCUGAGCCAGAGAAGUGAGAGUAAGAGGAGGAGGAUGGGGAGGACAAGGACGAGGAUGAGGAAGACCAAGGAACGUAAUCUCUGAUGAGAUCCGAGCCACUUUGGUUGAUCAUGUGGUCAACCAUGGUCUAACAAUGAGGGAGGCUGGGCAAAGAGUACAGCCAAAUUUGAGCAGGUACACUGUAGCAUACAUUAUCCGGACAUUCCGAAAUGAGAAUAGAACUGAAAGAUUACCAACACAAGGUGGUCAGGAACGUGUUCUGUCUCCUGAACAGGAAACUGAAAUCAUGAACAUGGUCCUAGAAAAUAACGCCAUAACAUUACGGCAAAUACAAAGAAAAAUAAAAGAAUGAGAUAUUUCAAAAUAUUGAUAGGGUAAGCUUAUCGACACUGGACCGUGUCUUGCGCAGAAAUAAUCUCAGGAUGAAACGGGUCUACAGGGUGCCAUUUGAACGCAAUUCAGAAAGAGUCAAAGAAUCGCGAUAUAACUAUGUGCAAAGAGUCCUUGAACUAGAGGUGGCUGCAGUGGAGCACCAGUUCAUCUUCAUUGAUGAGGUUGGAUUCAACCUCACAAAAAGAUGAAAGAGGGGAAGGAAUAUCAUCGGCCAGCGUGCCAUUGUUCAAGUCCCUGGCCAGCGCGGAGGGAACAUCACAAUGUGUGCAGCGAUUACCCACCACGGCGUCAUCCAUCACCAUGCUACCCUUGGCCCUUACAACACCGCCCAUCUGAUCACAUUCCUGGACACCCUACACAACACACUCAUUCCACCAGAUCAGGUAGAUGGCCCAGAGCAGCUCAGGUACGUUGUCAUUUGGGACAAGGUAAGUUUCCACAGGGCUGCUCUGGUUCGUAACUGGUUCACUGCCCAGCCACGCUUUGUAGUUGUUUAUCUCCCUCCAUAUUCUCCAUUCCUACAUCCUAUUGAGGAAUUUUUUUCUGCCUGGAGAUGGAAAGUGUAUGACCGAAAUCCACAAACGCGUAUACCUCUUCUCCAAGCUAUGGAAGACGCAUGUGGAGAUAUAGCAGCUGAUGCUUUUCAUGGCUGGAAUCGCCAUGCUAGGCCAUAUUUCCCCCGCUGCUUGGCCAGGGAAAACAUUGCUUGUGAUGUGGAUGAGGUGCUGUGGCCAGACCGCAACAGAAGAGAGGAUGCAGCAUAGUUUUAUUAUAUAUUUUUUUAUUUAUUUACUGUAACUGUAUACAUGAAAUUCUUCUGUUUUGUAUGUAGACCACUGUAUGUGCAACUUUGUGUUGGUUGGGAAUGGGAUGUACACUGUGUACAUUGUUUUUGUGGGGAAAAUAAAAUAUAUUUGUUACCGU